rnacentral:rRNA from 1 species
UUAAGCGACUAAGCGUACACGGUGGAUGCCCUGGCAGUCAGAGGCGAUGAAGGACGUGCUAAUCUGCGAUAAGCGUCGGUAAGGUGAUAUGAACCGUUAUAACCGGCGAUUUCCGAAUGGGGAAACCCAGUGUGAUUCGUCACACUAUCAUUAACUGAAUCCAUAGGUUAAUGAGGCGAACCGGGGGAACUGAAACAUCUAAGUACCCCGAGGAAAAGAAAUCAACCGAGAUUCCCCCAGUAGCGGCGAGCGAACGGGGAGGAGCCCAGAGCCUGAAUCAGUGUGUGUGUUAGUGGAAGCGUCUGGAAAGGCGCGCGAUACAGGGUGACAGCCCCGUACACAAAAAUGCACAUGCUGUGAGCUCGAUGAGUAGGGCGGGACACGUGGUAUCCUGUCUGAAUAUGGGGGGACCAUCCUCCAAGGCUAAAUACUCCUGACUGACCGAUAGUGAACCAGUACCGUGAGGGAAAGGCGAAAAGAACCCCGGCGAGGGGAGUGAAAAAGAACCUGAAACCGUGUACGUACAAGCAGUGGGAGCACAGAGCAAUCUGUGUGACUGCGUACCUUUUGUAUAAUGGGUCAGCGACUUAUAUUCUGUAGCAAGGUUAACCGAAUAGGGGAGCCGAAGGGAAACCGAGUCUUAACCGGGCGUUAAGUUGCAGGGUAUAGACCCGAAACCCGGUGAUCUAGCCAUGGGCAGGUUGAAGGUUGGGUAACACUAACUGGAGGACCGAACCGACUAAUGUUGAAAAAUUAGCGGAUGACUUGUGGCUGGGGGUGAAAGGCCAAUCAAACCGGGAGAUAGCUGGUUCUCCCCGAAAGCUAUUUAGGUAGCGCCUCGUGAAUUCAUCUCCGGGGGUAGAGCACUGUUUCGGCAAGGGGGUCAUCCCGACUUACCAACCCGAUGCAAACUGCGAAUACCGGAGAAUGUUAUCACGGGAGACACACGGCGGGUGCUAACGUCCGUCGUGAAGAGGGAAACAACCCAGACCGCCAGCUAAGGUCCCAAAGUCAUGGUUAAGUGGGAAACGAUGUGGGAAGGCCCAGACAGCCAGGAUGUUGGCUUAGAAGCAGCCAUCAUUUAAAGAAAGCGUAAUAGCUCACUGGUCGAGUCGGCCUGCGCGGAAGAUGUAACGGGGCUAAACCAUGCACCGAAGCUGCGGCAGCGACACUGUGUGUUGUUGGGUAGGGGAGCGUUCUGUAAGCCUGUGAAGGUGU